rnacentral:rRNA from 1 species
UAACGCGUGAGAAUCUGCCUACAGGUUCGGGACAACAGUUGGAAACGACUGCUAAUACCGGAUGUGCCGAGAGGUAAAAGCUUAAUGUGCCUGUAGAUGAGCUCGCGUCCGAUUAGCUAGUUGGUGAGGUAAGAGCUUACCAAGGCGAUGAUCGGUAGCUGGUCUGAGAGGAUGAUCAGCCACACUGGGACUGAGACACGGCCCAGACUCCUACGGGAGGCAGCAGUGGGGAAUUUUCCGCAAUGGGCGCAAGCCUGACGGAGCAAUACCGCGUGAGGGAGGAAGGCUUUUGGGUCGUAAACCUCUUUUAUUGGGGAAGAAGCACUGACGGUACCCAAUGAAUCAGCAUCGGCUAACUCCGUGCCAGCAGCCGCGGUAAUACGGAGGAUGCAAGCGUUAUCCGGAAUUAUUGGGCGUAAAGCGUCCGCAGGUGGUUAAUCAAGUCUGCUGUUAAAGCGUGCGGCUUAACCGCAUAUCGGCAGUGGAAACUGGUUGACUAGAGUUCGGUAGGGGUCACGGGAAUUCCCAGUGUAGCGGUGAAAUGCGUAGAUAUUGGGAAGAACACCAGCGGCGAAAGCGCGUGACUAGGCCUGAACUGACACUGAGGGACGAAAGCUAGGGGAGCGAAAGGGAUUAGGUACCCCCUGUUAGUCACGCUUUACC